GGUUCGGAGGGGGAUCGGGCUACAUACACACUGGAUUACCACAGCCAGCGGAAGAUUUCGGGAUUCCUGGACAGUGCAGUCGCAGUAUGGAGAGAGACGCUGAGUCAGUU